rnacentral:lncRNA from 1 species
CAUAUGAGUUCAUUACAGUGUCUUUCAUAUUUAAAAGAUAAAUUAGUCUUGUUAAAUGUGUCCAGACAGACAAAUAUUAGUAGACUAGUCAUGGUUGUGUUAACUUAUUGUGUAAAAUGUCCAUGGUUAAAGAAUUUACUAGUAUAGUCUGAUGUCAGUAACUUAUGUCCCUAGACUAUUUUUUUCCUAGAAACUUAAUGUCAAUGUCAUCAAAAUUCCCAGGUACAAUCCUCCUUGUUCUUUUAUAAUCACAUGAGAACCAAAAAUAAUGGGAAGCCACAUGUAGGAUUUCAAAUAUAUCAUAUCUUAAAUAUACAUUUGUUAUACAAUAUUAGAC